rnacentral:rRNA from 2 species
UGCAGUCGAGCGAACGGAUAAGGAGCUUGCUCCUUUGAAGUUAGCGGCGGACGGGUGAGUAACACGUGGGUAACCUACCUAUAAGACUGGAAUAACUUCGGGAAACCGGAGCUAAUGCCGGAUAACAUUUGGAACCGCAUGGUUCUAAAGUAAAAGAUGGUUUUGCUAUCACUUAUAGAUGGACCCGCGCCGUAUUAGCUAGUUGGUAAGGUAACGGCUUACCAAGGCAACGAUACGUAGCCGACCUGAGAGGGUGAUCGGCCACACUGGAACUGAGACACGGUCCAGACUCCUACGGGAGGCAGCAGUAGGGAAUCUUCCGCAAUGGACGAAAGUCUGACGGAGCAACGCCGCGUGAGUGAUGAAGGUUUUCGGAUCGUAAAACUCUGUUAUUAGGGAAGAACAAAUGUGUAAGUAACUGUGCACAUCUUGACGGUACCUAAUCAGAAAGCCACGGCUAACUACGUGCCAGCAGCCGCGGUAAUACGUAGGUGGCAAGCGUUAUCCGGAAUUAUUGGGCGUAAAGCGCGCGUAGGCGGUUUCUUAAGUCUGAUGUGAAAGCCCACGGCUCAACCGUGGAGGGUCAUUGGAAACUGGGAAACUUGAGUACAGAAGAGGAAAGUGGAAUUCCAUGUGUAGCGGUGAAAUGCGCAGAGAUAUGGAGGAACACCAGUGGCGAAGGCGACUUUCUGGUCUGUAACUGACGCUGAUGUGCGAAAGCGUGGGGAUCAAACAGGAUUAGAUACCCUGGUAGUCCACGCCGUACACGAUGAGUGCUAAGUGUUA